CAACUAGUCACAAGCCGUCUGCCGACGUUAAUCCGUAACCGUUAAACAUUGUUACUCGUAAAAUUGUAUUGCUUUAAAUUUCAAUGGACGACUUCACUAAAAAUAUUUUAUCCGAAUGGGGAUUUGAAGAUAUGAUUGAAAAAUUUAAAGGUAAAUAUUUCAAUCAAAACAUAAACAGCUUAAGGAAACUGCUAAAUCAAUUACAUCUCGUAAGAACUCUCCUUAUACUUUAGCAUUGAAACAUCAACUUAGUUUGGCAUACAGAGUUUUGUCAUCAAAUAAUAAUAUUAUUGAUAUGCAGUUUGGUCGUCAAAUAACUCUUUCGGAAACUACAAGGCACGAGUAUAGUAAAGUUGAAUUUUUAUGUUCUCCUUUUGAAUUUUUUGGAAAAUGCAAUAUUUGUUUCAUGGGUUGAUUUUAAAGGAACCACUUACAAUAGCAAUAAUAUGUCUGUUCUUAUUAAUUUCAGUGAUAAUCCAAAUAUUUUACCAAUUUUUGGACUAAUUUUAUCUAUAUUUAUUCAAACCAAUAAUAUACCAUUUUUUAUUUGUAAGAUUUAUGAGAAUAAAUAUUUUGAUGAGCAUUUCCAAGCAUAUAAUGUGCAAUUAACUGAAAAAUUAAUUUGUUGUUCAGUUGAACAAUUAUAGACUGUGUACAUCCCACUGUUCAUUGUGUCUUAUCAAAUGGUUUAUCUUAUAUAUCUUCAUAAACAUAUGUAAUACAAAAAUUUUAUGUAUCUACUAUCUACUAUGUAUAAAAAAACAUUUCUUUAUUAAUAAAUAUUUUAUUAUUCUUAA